ensembl:lncRNA
GGAUGAAUGGAAAGAUGGACAUAUAGAUAGAUUCAUAUAGGCCUAUUGGAUGAAUGGAUGGAUGGAUGGAUGGACAAGUGCAUGGAUGGAGAAAUGGAUGGAUUAGUGGAUGGGUGGAUGAAUGGAGGGAUGGGGGAUAAAUGAUGGAUGAAUGGAAAGAUGGACAGAUAGAUGGAUGAACAUAAUUGGGUGGAGGGAUGGAUGGAUAGAUGAUUGGAUUAACGGAUGGAUGGAUGGAUUCUGAGGUAAGUAGAGAGAGAGACCCCCAAAAAAACAGCCCACGCGACCUUGUCAACUCCAAUCACAGAGGAGAGAGAGAGAGAGAGAGAGAGAGAGAGAGAGAGAGAGAGAGAUGGGGGCGCAAUCUAGCGGCAGCAGCAGAGUGUCAGAGCGCGCGAGUGACCGAGACGCUGUGCGCUCUCUCUCUCGCUCUCUCUCUCUCUCUCUCUCUCUCGCGCCCGCGCUCUUCUCUCCUCCGCUCUCCGGUCCUCUCUGUGUCUCGUGCGCUCUCUCAUUGGAUCUCCUGCGUCUCGCGCUCACUGUUUCUGAGGCGCUGCUCCCAAAACCGACCAAACGACCAGCGGAUAUUUGGCCUUUUCCCUUCUACAACAAAAACAACAACAACAACAGGAGCGACAACAUCCCAGUCCGGCGGCGCAGCAGGAUACAGCAGCGCUCACGCGGAAAGGGGAGGUCGGGGGCCGCCGUUAUUAACGGAGGAAGCCGCCGAGCAGACAGAAGCUAAGGAACGACGGGCUCCUGCUGCACAGAACAGAUUUCAGCCUCAGCACGUAAAGGCAUAUCGUCUCCUAGAGGAAAGACAAUACUUCCCUCUCCUACAGCAGCACAGCCUACAGAGGAGCCUACAAACAUGGCCACGGACUACAACUCCCAGAACUGAGAGAGGCCUACAAACAUGGCCGCAGAUGACUACAACAUCCGACAGCCAUCACAAACUCUGUCACGAUCACAAUCACCAUCGUACUGAUUACACACACCUGGACUCACUUACACUGUCA